AGUUUGUGGCGGCAGCCUUGCCAGAGAACCAAUGCCGAUAUGCAGUCUAUGACUAUGCCUAUGAGAA
rnacentral:rRNA from 1 species